AUCUAUUUCAGCCCACAUCCAAAUUUGGAUCCAAAAAAGAAAAGGAAGAAUAAAAUCCCUCAACCCAAGCCCACAAAGUCCACAAAUAAAGAUCCAAAACCCAAAGUCCACAAAUAAAGUCCAAAACUCAAAACCCAAAGAUCCAAAACCCAAAGUCCACAAAUAAAGUCCAAAACUCAAAACCCAAAGAUCCAAAAUCCAAAGUCCAUAAAUAACACCCAACCAGAUCUACCAAACCUAUGUCUCGAAUUAAUUUCUUGGGCUUUCUAAAUGGGCCUCUUAUCAUAAAAUCAAUUCUACAAAUUAAUUUUAUGGAUUUCCCUCAUAGGCCCUUCUAUCACGAAUUAAUUCUAUGAAUUAAUUUCAUGGGCCUCUUUGUCAUAAAUUAAAUUCAUGAACUAACGGGCCUUCCAAAUGGCUCAUUAUCAUCCAAUUAAAAGGGCUCUCCAAAUGCCCCUUAUCAUGAAUUAAUUUCAUCAAUUAAUUCAAUGGACUUUACAAACGGGCUUCUAGCAUGAAUUAAUUUCAUGAAUUAGCUUCAUGAACAGCUCGAUUUCAAACGACCGAAAAGUCGCUAAACUAAACCCAAAUUUCAAACGACCGAAACGUCGCUAAACUAAACCCAAAUUUCAAACGACCGUAACGUCGCUAAACUAAACCCAAAUUUCAAACGACCGAAAA
rnacentral:lncRNA from 1 species